CCUUUGAUAGCUUAGCUGGUAGAGUGGAGGACUGUUAGGCUCUCUCUAGAAAGUAAUCCUUAGUUGAACCUUGAGCAGGUUCAAUUCCAGUUCAAAGGA
rnacentral:tRNA from 1 species